UCGCUGGGCGGAGGGCGCGGGUCGCCUUCCGUCCCGCGGCUCUCGGGCGGCCGUAGGGCCGUGGGACGGCAGCUCCGAGCCGUGCGCCGUGCCGGCGG
ensembl:miRNA gga-mir-1583 gga-mir-1583